rnacentral:lncRNA from 1 species
AUUGCUUUUUAUGCCCCACCUACGAUAGUAGAGGGGCAUUAUGUAUUCUGGUCUGUGGCUCCGUUCGUCUGUCCGUCCGUCUGUGGUUCCGUUCGUCUGUCCAGGUUAAAGUUUUUGGUCAAGGUAGUUUUUUAUGAAGCUGAAGUCCAAUCAACUUGAAACUUAGUACACUUGUUGCUUAUGAGAUGAUCUUUCUAAUUUUUAAGCCAAAUUAGACUUUUGACCCCAAUUUCACGGUCCA